GGGCAGGCGUCCUGGUUGUGACGCACGCCACCGCGGGCGUGCGCGUCCCCGCUUAGCACCGACCCUCAGUGCGCUUGCGCCACUAGAUGACCCGCCCCCUCGGGCUGUCGGGGGGUCGAGGCAGUGGAGGGUUCGUGAUGCCAGCUCACGGAGGGAAUCCAGGGAAUUAGCUGAUGCCAAGAGCCUCUUUUUGGCCAGCACUUACUAAGCACCAGAGACACAGCGAGAAGCAGAAGCAUACGAGCACAUCAGCGUGAUUCUGCUGUGAUGAAGGGCAAGAGAGGGCUCACUUUCCGGGGUGACAUUCAAGCUAGCCCCGAGGCCUGAGCAGGACCCGCCCAGGGGAAGAUCUGGAGGAAAGCCAUCUGAACAUACAACAAGAGCAAAGGCCUGGUGGAGUCAGGACCACCUUGGCUGCCAGGUGGAAUGGUGGAAUAACUCAGGAGUCUGUCAGGUCUCUGAGAUGUCAAACGGGGAAGGCCUUGUAGGAAGUAGGCGUUUGAAUGAGAUCAUAAUUUGAGAGCCACAGACAGAAAAAUAAAUUUGAAAGAGUUCACUCAGCCAAAUGUGUACAGUGAGAAAGGGAAAUAAGGCCAAAAGCAGCAAAGACCUCUGUGCCUGUUCCUCCUGGAGCACUUUCACCAGGGUCCCCAGAUCUAGGUCUGCCCGUUCCUCUCCCCACAUUCUACACUGGGCCCUAGGUCAACACUGCUUGAUGAAGUUGAGCAGACCACAGGCAUUGUUAUCCUUUGCCCCUGGGAAGAUGGUAUAGGUGAACUGUAGAGGCCAGACUAUUUCCCAAAUUGCCCUCCUCCUCCUACCAAACUGGAAGGGUAUUGAAAAAGGUGGAGACCUUCCUGGGAUGUCCAGUCUA
rnacentral:lncRNA from 1 species